rnacentral:rRNA from 1 species
UACGAAGGGGGCUAGCGUUGUUCGGAAUCACUGGGCGUAAAGCGCACGUAGGCGGAUGUGUCAGUCAGGGGUGGAAUCCCGGGGCUCAACCUCGGAACUGCCUUUGAUACAGCACGUCUCGAGUCCGGAAGAGGUGGGUGGAAUUCCUAGUGUAGAGGUGAAAUUCGUAGAUAUUGGGAAGAACACCGGUGGCGAAGGCGGCGAGCUGGUCCAUUACUGACGCUGAGGCGCGACAGCGUGGGGAGCAAACAGG